UACGUAGGGUGCGAGCGUUGUCCGGAUUUAUUGGGCGUAAAGAGCUCGUAGGCGGUUCAGUAAGUCGGGUGUGAAAACUCUGGGCUCAACCCAGAGACGCCACCCGAUACUGCUGUGACUUGAGUACGGUAGGGGAGUGGGGGAAUUCCUGGUGUAGCGGUGAAAUGCGCAGAUAUCAGGAGGAACACCAGUGGCGAAGGCGCCACUCUGGGCCGUAACUGACGCUGAGGAGCGAAAGCGUGGGUAGCAAACAGG
rnacentral:rRNA from 1 species